UAUAGUUUGCUCUGCCUUCUCUGUGGAGGAAAGAUCAAACUGAGUUUGGAGGUUCACUUUUUGUCGUACAGAUAUGGAGUAGGAUUUAUCAGUAUCAGAUAUUUUAUCAAUUAUGUACUUCUAUGUUGCCUAUUGUGGUAAGCAGAGUGGAAGAUAAUUUUUAGGGUUUCCCAAAGUAGUCAUGAAUUAGUCCCAUCCGAGUUCUCAAAGACUCUUCUAACCAUCUGGAUAAUGAAAUAUUCCAUCCCCUGCACAAUUAAAGCGAAUAUUUUUUAUUUAAUUUUUAUUUGUUUUAUUGGGACAUCGUAACAUAUAAAUUCCUCAAUUGCUUGUAUUAUUGAAGUGCAGAACACAUCGUCAGACAGUAAUGAUGUAUUGAGUCUCCAGUAUGAAUUUGCAGCUGAUGGAGAAUCGAAUCUGAGGUCAAGUAACAAAGGGGAAUGGUCUGAUAUGACUAUUGCUGAAUAUUCAGAGGAGUGUACGGAUGGUAGUAAGGCUUACUCAAUCUAUCCUUGAGUAGAUUUGAUGUACGUGGGAGAGGAAUGAGCAAGGUCUGGCAUCUGGGUAUAAAAAUCUCCAGGGAUCACACCCUCCACAGUCCUUCAUAAAUGAUGUUAGGGCUGUGGCCAUCUUUGAGAGUCUGGUAACCUUGGAGCUCAAGCAAUCCAGCUGGGUGUUUAUAACACAAUUUAGGUCUCCUCCAAGAAUUAAAUAGUGUGUAUCUACAUUUGGGAUAGGGGACAGAAGUGCAGUCAUAAAUUUGGCAUCAUCAAAAUUAGGGGCAUAUACACACACUAAUAUAACUGGCAUAUGAAAAAGACUGCUGGGGACAAUGAUGAAAUGCCCAUAAUGAUCAGGUAAUUUUUCCCCAGUGUAAAUUGAAGCUUUUUAGAAAUCAAAAUAGCUGUUCCUCUGGCCUUUAAAUUAAAUUGUGAACGGAAUAUGUGUCCCACCCAUGGCCGCCUCAGCCUUCUGUGAUCACUUAAUUUAAGGUGAGUUUCCUGGGGGAAAACAAUAUCAGCCCCAGACUUUCGCUCUUUUGAUAGGACCAUUUAAACCUCUCACAUUCCAUGAAAUGAGUUUCACAUGCAGCUUUUUGGUCACACUAUCAGUCAGCUCAGUCAUAAAUCUUACUAAAUAUAAACACUGGAAAGAUAUGAUCUACCCAAUAUAGUGUAUGAAACCAACUGUACUUCUUGACAUAACAGUAGACAUGUGCGACAAUUGUAUCAUAAAGUGUGACCAACAUAUGACCCUCCCAUAUCCCAUCACAAAAACUUAAAUAGAGCAAGCUUAGCAGCAUGAGAACAAUCUGCUAAAACUUCCAAAUCCUGCUCGUCCUUCCUUAGAAGCGAACAGGUCUCCUACUCAGUUGCACUCCCAAUGAACACCGCAGUAGUUAACCUAACCUCGCAGCAGGAGAACUCCCGCAUAUCAUGUUUAACCAUACAGUAUAUUCAUUGUAAACAAGUGAACCUCAUAUCCGUACAGUUUAAUCUAUACUUGAGUUUGCAUAAUUAAGUAAUGGCCAUUAAACACAGAUAGGGACUUUUCAAGAGCCUAUGCAAACAGAACUAGUCUUUAAUGUAUGGUAAGCUCGUUGGCUUGCUACGCAUUUGAAAUCAGCCAGUCUUGUAACAUUAGUUAACCACCCUAUAGCAUUUAGUUAGUCAGAUGUGGGCGUAGUAUUAAGUUCUUAGCUGUUAUUCAGAUAAGGUCCUUCAGAGCCAUAGCUAAAGCGUUAAUAUUAAACUUUCUAAUCUAAUCAGUGUUGACCACAGCACUUUUUAGCCAUCUGAGCUAAUUGGCAUUGACCACCGAUUUUUCCCUUGUCUGUUCGUAGAAUGUUUCUGCUGCAGCAGGGGUGUCAAAGUGGUGUUUGUUCCCGUCGAUGGUGAUGCAGAGACGAGCUGGGUGGCGUAGGGCCAAAGUGAUUCCACCUCUGUGGAAUUUAGCCUUGAUAUCUUUGAAUGCUGUCCGGCCAGGUUUGCAAUCAUGUCAGGGAAAAACAGGAUCUUGUUGCCGAUCUUGUUGAACUGUAUGUCCUCUUUGUGCGUCCUGGCCCAACAAAGCACACGCUCCUUGUCCUGAAAGUGGUGGAAUCUUGCGAUGAUGGCCCAGGGACAGUCGCCUUGGGGAGCCUUUGGAGCUAGUGUUCUGUGUGUGAAAAUCUCACUUCCAAUAACUUUGUGGAUGAGCUGUGAGACAAAUUCUGACAGCGAGCCUCCUUCUAUUCUCUCCGGGAAGCCAGCAAUUCUCAGAUUCUGUCGUCUGGAUCAGUUUUCAAGGUCUUCUGCUUUGGAUGCUAAGGCCGCGUUUGCCUUUUCAAGCUGGUCCAGUCUCGAUGUUAGCUUGACUGUGGUUGUGCAGCUGAUGGAAUAGAGAGUCCAAUGGGGAAAGAACCACGAACCAGAGGAAGGGAGGUACGCCCCACCAACCCCAUUCCCGCCCACCCCCACCAGAGCCCCGAUCGAGCGGCCUGAGGGCCAGGCGGGAAGCCAGCGCCGCCACCCCGCAGCCAACCCAGUCUGGCCCCAUUGCUAUUGUUUAACAAUUAAGAUAAUGUAAGUAAUAAUAAUUCCGUAAAUCAAUAAGUAGUAUGUAUGAGUAAAAAAAAUAAAAAAAUAAAAAAAUAAAAGAGUGCAACAACAAAAUUAUGUCUGUGCAUUUUUGUGUGUGUGUGUGUGUGAGUAUGAAUACAAUGUGCCAUGGGUAUGUAUGUUUUUUGUUUGAAAAAGUAACAACUAAUUAUCAAGACGUUGGCAAGCGUGGAAUAGGAAAAGGACCCAAAUGCAGACAGAGGAGGAAGAACGAAGACUUGAG